GCUGGCGGCAGGCUUAACACAUGCAAGUCGAGCGGAAACGAUGGUAGCUUGCUACCAGGCGUCGAGCGGCGGACGGGUGAGUAAUACUUAGGAAUCUACCUAGUAGUGGGGGAUAGCACGGGGAAACUCGUAUUAAUACCGCAUACGACCUACGGGAGAAAGGGGGCAGUUUACUGCUCUCGCUAUUAGAUGAGCCUAAGUCGGAUUAGCUAGAUGGUGGGGUAAAGGCCUACCAUGGCGACGAUCUGUAGCUGGUCUGAGAGGAUGAUCAGCCACACCGGGACUGAGACACGGCCCGGACUCCUACGGGAGGCAGCAGUGGGGAAUAUUGGACAAUGGGGGAAACCCUGAUCCAGCCAUGCCGCGUGUGUGAAGAAGGCCUUUUGGUUGUAAAGCACUUUAAGCAGUGAAGAAGACUCUUCGGUUAAUACCCGGAGACGAUGACAUUAGCUGCAGAAUAAGCACCGGCUAACUCUGUGCCAGCAGCCGCGGUAAUACAGAGGGUGCAAGCGUUAAUCGGAAUUACUGGGCGUAAAGCGAGCGUAGGUGGCUUGAUAAGUCAGAUGUGAAAUCCCCGGGCUUAACCUGGGAACUGCAUCUGAAACUGUUAGGCUAGAGUAGGUGAGAGGGAAGUAGAAUUUCAGGUGUAGCGGUGAAAUGCGUAGAGAUCUGAAGGAAUACCGAUGGCGAAGGCAGCUUCCUGGCAUCAUACUGACACUGAGGCUCGAAAGCGUGGGUAGCAAACAGGAUUAGAUACCCUGGUAGUCCACGCCGUAAACGAUGUCUACUAGUCGUUGGGUCCCUUGAGGACUUAGUGACGC
rnacentral:rRNA from 2 species